rnacentral:rRNA from 1 species
UGGCUGUCGUCAGCUCGUGUCGUGAGAUGUUGGUUAAGUCCGUAACGAGCGCAACCCUUGUCCUUAGUUACCAGCACGUUAUGGUGGGCACUCUAAGGAGACUGCCGGUGACAAACCGGAGGAAGGUGGGGAUGACGUCAAGUCAUCAUGGCCCUUACGGCCUGGGCUACACACGUGCUACAAUGGUCGGUACAAAGGGUUGCCAAGCCGCGAGGUGGAGCUAAUCCCAUAAAACCGAUCGUAGUCCGGAUCGCAGUCUGCAACUCGACUGCGUGAAGUCGGAAUCGUUAGUAAUCGUGAGUCAGAAUGUCACGGUGAAUACGUUCCCGGGCCUU